GUGUCCGGAUUUAUUGUGCGUAAAGCGAGCGCAGGCGGUUUCUUAUGUCUGAUGUGAAAGCCUUUCGGUUCAACUGAAGAAGUGCAUCGGAAAGUGGGAAACUUGAGUGCAGAAGAGGACAGUGGAACUCCAUGUGUAGCGGUGAAAUGCGUAGAUAUAUGGAAGAACACCAGUGGCGAAGGCGGCUGUCUGGUCUGUAACUGACGCUGAGGCUCGAAAGCAUGGGUAGCAAACAGGAUUAGAUACCCUGGUAGUCCAUGCCGUAAACGAUGAGUGCUAGGUGUUGGAGGGUUUCCGCCCUUCAGUGCCGCAGCUAACGCAUUAAGCACUCCGCCUGGGGAGUACGACCGCAAGGUUGAAACUCAAAGGAAUUGACGGGGGCCCGCACAAGCGGUGGAGCAUGUGGUUUAAUUCGAAGCAACGCGAAGAACCUUACCAGGUCUUGACAUCCUUUGACCACUCUAGAGAUAGAGCUUUCCCUUCGGGGACAAAGUGACAGGUGGUGCAUGGUUGUCGUCAGCUCGUGUCGUGAGAUGUUGGGUUAAGUCCCGCAACGAGCGCAACCCUUAUUACUAGUUGCCAGCAUUAAGUUGGGCACUCUAGUGAGACUGCCGGUGACAAACCGGAGGAAGGUGGGGACGACGUCAAAUCAUCAUGCCCCUUAUGACCUGGGCUACACACGUGCUACAAUGGAUGGUACAACGAGUUGCGAGACCGCGAGGUUUAGCUAAUCUCUUAAAACCAUUCUCAGUUCGGAUUGUAGGCUGCAACUCGCCUACAUGAAGCCGGAAUCGCUAGUAAUCGCGGAUCAGCAUGCCGCGGUGAAUACGUUCCCGGGCCUUGUACACACCGCCCGUCACACCAUGAGAGUUUGUAACACCCAAAGCCGGUGAGGUAACCCUUCGGGGAGCCAGCCGUCUAAG
rnacentral:rRNA from 1 species